CGUAGGGGGCUAGCGUUGUCCGGAAUCAUUGGGCGUAAAGAGCGUGUAGGCGGCCCGGUAAGUCCGCUGUGAAAGUCGGGGGCUCAACCCUCGAAUGCCGGUGGAUACUGUCGGGCUAGAGUGCGGAAGAGGCGAGUGGAAUUCCUGGUGUAGCGGUGAAAUGCGCAGAUAUCAGGAGGAACACCAAUUGCGAAGGCAGCUCGCUGGGACGUAACUGACGCUGAGACGCGAAAGCGUGGGGAGCAAACAGGAUUAGAUACCCUGGUAGUCCACGCUGUAAACGAUGGGCACUAGGUGUGGGGGGUGUCGACUCCCUCCGUGCCGAAGCUAACGCAUUAAGUGCCCCGCCUGGGGAGUACGGCCGCAAGGCUA
rnacentral:rRNA from 1 species